rnacentral:snRNA from 1 species
AUACUAACCUGGCAGGGGAGACACCAUGAUCACGAAGGUGGUUUUCACAGAGCGAGGCUUAUCCAUUGCACUCUGGAUGUGCUGACCCCUUCAGUUUCCCAAAAUGUGAAAACUCAACUGCAUAAUUUAUGGUAGUGGGGGACUACAUUCAUGCUCGCCUGAA